rnacentral:tRNA from 1 species
GCAUUAGUGGUAGAAUUCUUGCCUUCCAUGCAAGAGGUUUGGGUUCAAUUCCCAGCCAGUUCA